rnacentral:rRNA from 1 species
CCGGAGGUCACUGCUAUCGGUGUUCGACUAAGCCAUGCGAGUCAAAUGUUCUUCGUGAACAUGGCGUACUGCUCAGUAACACGUGGAUAACCUGCCCUUAGGUCUGGCAUAACCCCGGGAAACUGGGGAUAAUUCCGGAUAGAUUAUAGAUGCUGGAAUGCCCUGUAAUCCAAAGCUAUUGUGCCUAAGGAUGGGUCUGCGGUCUAUCAGGUUGUAGUGGGUGUAAUGUACCUACUAGCCUACGACGGAUACGGGUUGUGGGAGCAAGAGCCCGGAGAUGGAUUCUGAGACAUGAAUCCAGGCCCUACGGGGCGCAGCAGGCGCGAAAACUUUACAAUGCGGGAAACCGCGAUAAGGGGACACCGAGUGCCAGCAUCCUAUGUUGGCUGUCCAUAUGUAUAAAUCACAUGUGUUAGCAAGGGCCGGGCAAGACCGGUGCCAGCCGCCGCGGUAACACCGGCGGCCCGAGUGGUGGCCACUAUUAUUGGGUCUAAAGGGUCCGUAGCCGGUUUGGUCAGUCUUCCGG